AUUGAACGCUGGCGGCAGGCCUAACACAUGCAAGUCGAACGGUAGCACAGAGAGCUUGCUCUCGGGUGACGAGUGGCGGACGGGUGAGUAAUGUCUGGGAAACUGCCCGAUGGAGGGGGAUAACUACUGGAAACGGUAGCUAAUACCGCAUAACGUCGCAAGACCAAAGUGGGGGACCUUCGGGCCUCACACCAUCGGAUGUGCCCAGAUGGGAUUAGCUAGUAGGGGGGGUAAUGGCUCACCUAGGCGACGAUCCCUAGCUGGUCUGAGAGGAUGACCAGCCACACUGGAACUGAGACACGGUCCAGACUCCUACGGGAGGCAGCAGUGGGGAAUAUUGCACAAUGGGCGCAAGCCUGAUGCAGCCAUGCCGCGUGUAUGAAGAAGGCCUUCGGGUUGUAAAGUACUUUCAGCGGGGAGGAAGGCGGUGGAGUUAAUAACUUCACCGAUUGACGUUACCCGCAGAAGAAGCACCGGCUAACUCCGUGCCAGCAGCCGCCGUAA
rnacentral:rRNA from 1 species